CAGGAUAUGAUUUAUAGCAUGAAUUAGCUGCUUUUGUGUGAUGAAGGGUAUAAUUAAACUCUGGUAGCAGCAUGCGGCCAUGGCAAAUGGCUUGGCAGAGAGCUGAUCUCUGGAAGCUGGCUUACACGGAACAGGGUUUGUGUUGCUGGUGCCACCGACAGGUCAGCAGGACAGCCUGGUCCCUGAGCAGGCUCCUUCCUAUCUUUGUCAAGCUCAAAGGCAACACGCGGGUUUACAAGGAGCAAGGCAAGCCAGAAGGUAUCUCCAGUGACGUCAUAAGGAAAUCCUCAAGAAAAUCUGCUGGUUGGAGACUGCCAAAAGGCUUCUCCCUGUCAAAAUCCUGACUGACAGCAAGUCAGCCAAACACUCUCUAGAAAGGACCUCCCGUGAAGCUUCUUGUGCCUGCUGUUUUGAGCUCCUUGGUACAGACAAGUCAACUCCAGGCCUGUAAUGAGGAACAAAGAUUUGGUGUACUUGCUACACAAGUACUAGAGAUGCUAAAGUAGCUGUCCAUUCCCAGGGGUGUUUCUAGCAUCUCAUCCCUUCUUGGCAAGGUGCACAAGGCUUGGCGCACUGCAUGAGGUCUCCCUCCUUGGCAAGGGGCUGAAGAGAUAACUGUACUCUGUAAUGUGGCUGUGGCUGGUAGGAGGUGUGCCCAUGGCCUCUUCUGAUGGAGAUGUGUGUACACCCUUAGGAGCACCUCAGACCUCAGCUCUGGUCAGCCCUGUGGAGAUCACAGAAUCAUAUAAUAGUUAGGGCUGGAAAGGACCUUAAGAUCAUUUGGUUCCAACCCCCCUGCCAUGGGCAGGGACACCUCAUACUAGACCAUGUUGCCCAAGGCUCUGUCCAACCUGGCCUUGAACACCACCAGGGAUGGAGCACUCACAACUUCCUUGGGCAACCUGUUCCAGCAUUCCAGUGCCUCACCACCCUCACAGUAAAGAACUUCUUCUUUGUAUCUAACCUGAACUUCCUCUGUUUAAGUUUGAACCUGUUACCCCUUGUCCUGUCACUACAGUCCGUAAUGAAGAGUCCCUCACCAGCAUCCUUGUAGGCCCCCUUCAGAUACUAGAAGGCUGCUAUGAGGUCUCUGUGCAGCCUUCUCUUCUCCAGGUUGAACAGCCCCAAUUCUCUUAGCCCAUCUUUGUAUAUGGAGAUAAGCAAGGACAACCCAGUUAGGUCUUCCACACGUAGGAGUUGGUGUGCUAGGAGUUGUCCGCCUCUGACCUCAGGUCUGCUGGCCACCCUCUGCUCUUCCUCCCUGCCCGCCCAAAGCAGGCCUGGGGCCGCGGCCUCUGGUGGGGGAGACUGCCCCUAGGCCACUCAAGGGCGCUCCCAUUCUCCG
rnacentral:lncRNA from 1 species